rnacentral:rRNA from 1 species
AACGAACGCUGGCGGCAGGCCUAACACAUGCAAGUCGAACGCCCUAGCAGUAGGGAGUGGCAGACGGGUGAGUAACACGUGGGAACCUUCCCUAUAGUAUGGAAUAGCCCAGGGAAACUUGGAGUAAUACCGUAUACGCCCGAGAGGGGAAAGAUUUAUCGCUAUAGGAUGGGCCCGCGUAGGAUUAGCUAGUUGGUGAGGUAAUGGCUCACCAAGGCGACGAUCCUUAGCUGGUCUGAGAGGACGACCAGCCACACUGGGACUGAGACACGGCCCAGACUCCUACGGGAGGCAGCAGUGGGGAAUAUUGGACAAUGGGCGCAAGCCUGAUCCAGCCAUGCCGCGUGAGUGAUGAAGGCCUUAGGGUUGUAAAGCUCGUUUUGCCGGGGACGAUAAUGACGGUACCCGGAGAAUAAGUCCCGGCUAACUUCGUG